rnacentral:rRNA from 1 species
UACAGAGGGGGCAAGCGUUGUUCGGAAUUACUGGGCGUAAAGGGCGCGUAGGCGGCCUUCUAAGUCGAACGUGAAAUCCCCGGGCUCAACCGGGGAACUGCGUCUGAUACUGGGUGGCUUGAAUUCGGGAGAGGGAUGCGGAAUUCCAGGUGUAGCGGUGAAAUGCGUAGAUAUCUGGAGGAAUACCGGUGGCGAAGGCGGCAUCCUGGACCGAGAUUGACGCUGAGGAGCGAAAAGCUAGGGGAGCAAACGGGG